rnacentral:rRNA from 1 species
UACGUAGGGUGCAAGCGUUAAUCGGAAUUACUGGGCGUAAAGCGUGCGCAGGCGGUUUUGUAAGUUUGUCGUGAAAUCCCCGGGCUCAACCUGGGAAUGGCGAUGAAGACUGCAAGGCUAGAAUCUGGCAGAGGGGGGUAGAAUUCCACGUGUGAGCAGUGAAAUGCGUAGAGAUGUGGAGGAACACCGGAUGGCGAAGGCA